CAGGCAUCUGCCCAUGACGUUUGUCCUGGUUCUAGUGGCUCCUUGGAUCUUGUCAUCUUUGAAAAUAUUUUUCUAUAAUGGGAAAAAUCUCCACUUAGAAAACAACAUGGGGUGUGCCCCACAGAGCUGAGCUGGAAUGUACAGGUGACCUAGCAUGUGAUCUCACCACUCUACCUUCUCUGCACCCAGAUGCUGCAGGGGAGCACCCUGGGGAAUCCUGCGCUGUUGGAGGAGUUGGCUGGGUCCCCAGAAACCCCUUCAGUGCCGAAGAAAAAUCAAGCAAGUCCAAGGCAGACCUGCCUUAGUGGAAGAAUUGACUGUUGAGAACCACGCGCGUGGCCUGAAAGGUGAGGACGCUGCUGGCCCGCUGGCCAUCCCCUCACUGGUAAGGGACAGUGCCUGUUGUCUGUGUGAGCACCGUUGUCAUAGCCCACAGGCACUUUGGGGUGGAGGGUGGGGCAGCGUUGGGGGAGGAGCUGGUUGGCUGACUAUGUUCAAAGACCGUUGGACAGUUAGGUGAUGGUUGGGCCGGAAUAACACUCGGAUUUAUCCAUCAGGCUGUGAAACUGAAACCCAGGCUUUUUAGACAGCCACCUACAGCGUCUGGGGUUUGUCUGAAGAAAACGACAGGAAAUUCUGGCUUCCCUCAGGCAUCAUGCACAUGAAAGGAGCUUUAGCCUUGUUAGUAAAACUGCAAAAUUCUGAUAAAGCAAAUGGUGUUGAAGGGUCUCGAGUUUCCCUCAAAGAGACUGGGCUAAUAAAUCUUAGGGGUUACGUGUCUCCCACAGAAAUAUUAACGAAAGCCACAGGGAAAGUGACCAACGCCCUUUACUCCAUCAGAAGCAAGAACCAAACACUGUUUCUUACAGUUUCACAAACUGCGAGGAACA